AUCCCCUCCGUAGGGUAACCUGCGGAGGGAUCAUUACACAAAUAUGAAGGCGGGCUGGAACCUCUCGGGGUUACAGCCUUGCUGAAUUAUUCACCCUUGUCUUUUGCGUACUUCUUGUUUCCUUGGUGGGUUCGCCCACCACUAGGACAAACAUAAACCUUUUGUAAUUGCAAUCAGCGUCAGUAACAAAUUAAUAAUUACAACUUUCAACAACGGAUCUCUUGGUUCUGGCAUCGAUGAAGAACGCAGCGAAAUGCGAUAAGUAGUGUGAAUUGCAGAAUUCAGUGAAUCAUCGAAUCUUUGAACGCACAUUGCGCCCUUUGGUAUUCCAAAGGGCAUGCCUGUUCGAGCGUCAUUUGUACCCUCAAGCUUUGCUUGGUGUUGGGCGUCUUGUCUCUAGCUUUGCUGGAGACUCGCCUUAAAGUAAUUGGCAGCCGGCCUACUGGUUUCGGAGCGCAGCACAAGUCGCACUCUCUAUCAGCAAAGGUCUAGCAUCCAUUAAGCCUUUUUUCAACUUUUGACCUCGGAUCAGGUAGGGAUACCCGCUGAACUUAAGCAUAUCAAUAAGCGGAGGAA
rnacentral:rRNA from 1 species